UACAGAGGGGGCAAGCGUUAUUCGGAAUUAUUGGGCGUAAAGGGCGCGUAGGCGGCCUGGCAAGUAGAUGGUGAAAUCCCUCGGCUUAACCGAGGAACUGCCAUCCAGACUGCUUGGCUUGAGACCGGGAGAGGUGAGUGGAAUUCCCAGUGUAGCGGUGAAAUGCGUAGAUAUCCGGAGGAACACCGGUGGCGAAGGCGGCAUCCUGGACCAUUACUGACGCUGAUGAGCGAAAGCCAGGGGAGCAAACGGG
rnacentral:rRNA from 1 species